ACUCUGUCCAGCAAACGCAUUUGCUGUGUGCCUGAAACCUGCUGCACAGAGGCAGAGAAGCUGUGGCAGUGCUGCAGGGAGCAUCAGGACGCCAGAGCUGCCCGAAGGGCCCAAACAUCCAAACCCUCUGCUUCCCUCGGGCUCUGCUGCACGACUAACAAAGCAGGUGGUGUGCAAGCCUAGGUAUUUGAUGUUUCUGAAGAUGAGAUAAAGGAGAAGAACCUCCCACACUACCUGUGAAGCCAUGACCGACUCCAGGGACACAAUGAUUUCUUUAACAGUGCUGUGAGUCUCUGUGUGUACGGUAAGUUGUGUUGUGCCUGCAAUCCAAAAUAAAGGCCAGCACAUGCCACCAGUGUGCUUCACACAGGAGUACAUACAUGGGCUUUCACAACUACAUCUUCAAAAGCUGUUUUAGGGUGCAUGGGAGCAGGUCUUCUUGCCUUGAGGCACUGCUUGUAGAAAGGGGCAGAAGGCCUUUGAAUGCCUGUCUCACCCCAAGGACAUCAUUCUGUAGCUGCCUAUCUUUCUCUGCAGCAUCACCCAGUCAUGAGGUCCUGCUGUUGCCUGUGGUCCAAAUUGCACAUGACUACUGAUUUUUUUCACAGGUUUCACUAAAUAUGUGGCUACUGUCAGGUAAUGCAUGUUCUGCUGAAAGCCUAAUGCAGAGUGUUACAACUCCUGUACGACUCAGGAUGGAUUUUCAUCUGUACACCUUUGCAGGUAGUCACGUAGCUAAGUGACAUUGAGCUGAGAAAUCUAUAAAGUGGAAUGUCUUUGUUAUCCAUCUCGUGGAAUUGCUGAUGUCAUCUUUAGCUCUCAUUCGUGCCAAUUAGCCAAAGCCCCAUGGAGGAGGACUAGAUAUAUAAUUCCAGCUGGAACUGGUGCGUCAUGUGUGGUUGCUGCCACAGGUCCUCAGCUCAGACUCAUCACUCAUCCGGCUAGUCACAGAGGUACUCUGGCAGUCCCAUCCGGAUGAUGCUUAUUUAGUCCCUUUGGUCUGCUGAAGCUGGUAAUAAAUCAACUCCAUAAUGAGGUGAAGUUGCCGUUGGAACAUGCUAUAACUACACUGUCAUUCCAAAAGGCUUUAUUAGGUAAAAUAGUUGCUUUAUAUCUGGCUAGUUUGUUGGUAGCCUCUCUAACUGGUUUGCCUAAUGGCUGACCUUGCAUAGUUUAUAUAUACAGAAGGUUUGUUGAUCUGAGACAAUAUGGAUUGAAAUUUUCCAAGACAUUUAUAUGAGUAUUGGGCUAACAGUCCAUAGCAGCACUCAGGACUGGUCAUCUUUGUUCUCCUGGGACAAAGGUUACUUCAUAAGAGGGAUUUCACACUCACAUGGCAUUUUUUCUUGAAAGCAACUCUCAAAGGUGGUUACAACAUCAAUGCUACACAUUUCCUUUCCCCUCCACUAAAAUAGUGCAGCCCCAAUAAUUUUCCUUAUAUCAAACUGGAUUAAAGGCUAGCAAUUCCAGUGCUGUCUAGGGGAUUUAAACACCCUGAUUGCCAGUGAUACCACUAGAAUCCAAAUAGCAGAAAUCUUUCUAAAUGCUUCCACACUGCUUUCGCCUACAGCAUCCACCAGCAAACCUUUAUUUUCCUUCUUUUCAGCCCAAAUGUUUUUUUCCUAAUAUAAUGUACUUCCUGAUUACAUUUGCCUGUAUCAUUCUAUAUGCUAUUUAAAAAUGACAUUUAUUGUUAAAUAAGCCCUACUCAUUUAUACAGUCAUCACUUAACCAUACUAAUGAGAGGCUAACCACAAUUUGUAAGCUGCCGCUUUUCUUUCACUUCUGUAAUUAUAUCAGUGAUACUCAAUCUUUUCUGCCCUGUGAGCCACAAGGCCUAUUCUGUGGUCACUAAAGAGCUGGGUGCCUUCUCCACAAAAUAUUACUUCUGAACAGGGGUCAAACAGCUGGAGGACAUAAGGCCUCAGCCCUAUUGACAUUUCCUUUGACCUGAAAUGGUGCUGAUUACCUCUCCAAGUGUUCUGGAGACUGUGUUUUGCUCAGAAGCUUUUCUGAGUGCCGCUUGAGCUCCUGAUAUCUUCUGCAAAGAUGUGUAGGAUGAAGAGGGGUCCAGAUUCCCAUCAGCACCGCUAAACACAGGUUUUCUACCACCCUCUCUGUGCAAGACACAUGGUAUGGUCUCACUCUUUGCUUGGCCUUCUGCUGGUCUUCAUCUGCCCAACACUGUCACUGAGAACAUGGCUGUCUCACCUGGGAGCAAAUAAAGGGUUUGUAGACUUAUUUUGAUUGCAAUUUUCCCCUGCUGCACAGGAGAGGGUAUGGCUCUGCUGGUAGCAGAAGUCCUGCUGAUAGCAGCUAUUGUGAUCUGCCUGCCCAGCUCUUGCCCCAGCUCUGUGCUGGAAACCACACAAACCAGCAGUUUUCCUGCACUGUGCCCAGGCUCUAGGGCACAGGUGCACUUACUAAGUUGAAGACACUUGGCAAAUGGCUUACAGGUGUAGCCUUCUCCACUAAAUCCACAUCUGAUCCUGGUGUUACCAGGGCAGCCAGAUGCCCAGGCCAUGCUUUUCUACAGGGCAUGAAGGGGAUGACACUUUAGCAGCUUUAGCAUCUGAACCAAAUGCCUGAGGCACCCUCAGAGUCCUACAGUUGGGAGGAAAAUUGCUCCAAGGCUAAGCCUUGCCAACAGCAGCACCAGUGCCAGGACCUGCCUCUCCCUUUACGUGGCAAAGGACCCUGUCUAUCCACUAGAGAAAGCUCCCUGAGGAAAGACAAAUCCAGGCUUUGCCAGGAUCCUUUGAGGUCUGGGGAAAGCAUGCUGAGAAAGGAGACUUCCUCACUAUUUACCCCUGGCAUGACACCAAAGUCAAAUUUUUGCUCCUAGCCUUUGGUGUGGAUGCAACUAACAUGUGGCCUGCUCACUGUGGGAUGGUUAAUAGAAGAGUGAGGAGAGACAGGAGCAAAUGCUGGCCCUUUUCAGCACUGUUACUGCUCCUUCUGUUAUCUGAAAUGCUGCAGUGUAUCAUUAUCUGUUGAUUGCAGUCUUUUGCCCAGUUUUUGCUCUUGCCCAGUCAGCACUCAUCUCCAAGACAAUCCAAAUUAAUUGUGUGAAGGAUUUCCCAAGACUGAAAUAUUCAGCAACGUUCAACUGAAAUCAAGACAGAGCAGGACUGGUUCUGAUCACAGUUUGAGGUGGGCAGAACUCUCAAGGAUUGAUGUUUUUUUUGGCUGCUCUUUACCCCAAGAGAGGGAAAAUCCUGCAUCUACACCUCGCUGUGCCACAGACCUAGCAUUUUAUCAGUAGAGCAUGUAUCUGGUGGAUGGAAUUGCUCUCUGAAGCUCUUCUUUCUUUGUCCUCUAAGGAUUUUCUUUACCUUCUUUAGGAACCUCAGAUUUCCACCAUUUUUGCUGUAAAUUCUGGUUUAAUGACCACUGUCAUCGAUACUUCUGCUUGUAAUAAUGAAGCAAGUGCUGAGGAUUAAAUCAGACUUACCAGACAACCACUGCCAGGACAACUGUUUGUCCCUCUCUCAAACACUGGUACUGCAUGUGACUGCUUCCUGUACCUUGCUGUUCUCCAUGGCUUUUCAAUGGAGUUGGCGGAGGUGUGGAAUACUUAUUAGCUAACUCUGUUGACACAUUAAGUGGAUGUUAUCCAGAUCCACUGACUAAAUGCAAGUAUGACUAUUAAUUGUCUCUUUCCCUGAAAGAAGAAGAAACAGAGUUUUGUCAAACCAAAUGCCACUUUCUCAGCUAAUGUCUUGCCACCUGCCCAACCAGAAGAGACAGCAUCCUUAUCUUUGAGACAAUAGUAGUAGUAGUAAUAAGAAUAACAGUAACAAUAACUGCAACAAUAUCUCUUUUUGAAUGCAGUGUUAGGGCUCAUAAGUUUAAAAAAAAAAAAAGGAUGCUGCUUGCUGGAACUCUUGAUUUGGCAAGCUGAACAAUCCAAUCAAAGGAAAGUAUGUUGCACGUGCAUGGUACUGGCAGCUUGAUAUCCCCAUUGGCAUUCACCUCUUCUCCAUAAUACUUUGUGCCAUUUGGCUUCAUCCCGUAUCACUGCAUGAAAGUCAAGCAGGUCUCCAGUCCCAGCCGUACCACUGAGCUAUACAGCUGUGGAUACAUGUCCUUACUUCUCCAUGUCUGCCCCCCUACCUGUGAAGGGGGCAAUCAAACUAGCUUUUGCACAGCUAUAUGAAAUUUGCAGACACUGAAGCACAGGAAGGCUAUAUUUCAGCACUGCAGACAGAUUGUUAGUAGUAUCAUCUUUCUUUCUCCUCUUUCCUUCCUCCUACCUCUCAGUUACACAGCAUCCCACUGUUCUCAAAGUUCAUAUGCUUGAGGAAAAAAAAAAAAGAAAUCUGAUUUUUCCACUGAGUGUCAGCAUAGAUCAGAGGCUACAGUAACAUCUUUAGCACAGGCAGAUUAUAAAUGAACUUGGAAGGUUCAAGUAAUUCAUAUUCCUCACUUGAAAAUGUA